CUCCCUGGUGACAGGACAAGACAGAUGGAUGCAUGUGAAACUAAAAAUCAUAGAACAUAAGAUGGGCUUCUUUUCUAACUUCCUCUCACCAACAUAGACUUGUGUUAAAAAACGUACACGUUACAUUCUACUAGGAUUGGAUAAGUUUAGAAAAGGGAGUAAUGUACCUAUUCUGGUUUGUUAUAAGUGAGAUUCAGGGAACCGUUCGAUGCGAUGCUAACAUGUACAAAUCUGUGAUUUUUGAUAGUUAUUACAGAUAUCUCUUUCUAGAGUUGGGCACUGAAUUCAAUACUUUAGGCACUGACGAGUGGCCUCCUAAAAUAGAGUAUCAAAAAAAGGCCCCCUUAUUUAUUACCACAUUUCAAUAACUAAGGAGUAAAUCUCAUCAGCAUCAGUCAGCCAAUAAGCAUGCUUCUAUCAAAAACUAAUAAUGAUUGUGAUGGCUGUCUAACGUUACAUAUGGUAGAGAGCUGCAGAAGAAAUCUGCAU